rnacentral:rRNA from 1 species
GGAUUCCCCUAGUAACUGCGAGUGAAGCGGGAAAAGCUCAAAUUUAAAAUCUGGCGGUCCUUGGCCGUCCGAGUUGUAAUCUAGAGAAGUGUUACCCGCGUCGGACCGUGUACAAGUCUCCUGGAAUGGAGCGUCAUAGAGGGUGAGAAUCCCGUCUUUGACACGGACUACCGAGGCUUUGUGGUGCGCUCUCAAAGAGUCGAGUUGUUUGGGAAUGCAGCUCAAAAUGGGUGGUAAAUUCCAUCUAAAGCUAAAUAUUGGCGAGAGACCGAUAGCGAACAAGUACCGUGAGGGAAAGAUGAAAAGAACUUUGGAAAGAGAGUUAAACAGUACGUGAAAUUGCUGAAAGGGAAACGCUUGAAGUCAGUCGCGUCGUCCGGGAAUCAGCCUUCCUUCUGGUUGGUGUACUUCCUGGUUGACGGGCCAGCAUCAGUUUUGACCGGUGGAAAAAGUUCGAGGGAAUGUGGCACCUCCGGGUGUGUUAUAGCCCUCGUUCGUAUACAUCGGUUGGGACUGAGGAACUCAGCACGCCGCAAGGCCGGGAUUCGUCCACGUUCGUGCUUAGGAUGCUGGCAUAAUGGCUUUAAUCGACCCGUC